rnacentral:tRNA from 1 species
GGGAGCGGGUGGCCAGGGCUACGGUGGCUUGGCUGCUUGAGGCCGGCCAUGAGGUGGAACUAAUCGAUCCCUUGGAUCUUGACCUGCCGACCUCG